UCCUGAGUAGGCUUCACCCCAGCCUCAGUUCCCUCCUUGGUGCAAACAGAAAAUAUUUAGAACCUGGCCAGUAGAGCAGAAGUCACCGUGAAGAUUGGACUUGGUUGUGGUGUUAUGGGAUCCUGAACAGAAGCUAAUGGCAGCUGAAAAGAAAACCACAUGUGGAUAAAGUAGAAAGAUCAUCAGAGAUGAGCUACCGAUGGUCUUUUGAGUUCCAUUUGAAAGUAAUAUUAUGGAGAGGCUGGGGGAGAAAAAAAGAGUAAAGUAGUGACGAACUUGGCAGGAAAAUACAAGAAGCUGAGACCAUGUGAAUUGGAGUAUUUGGGGGACACUGAACAUGCCAGGCAUUUCUGCGUAGAACAGCCAAAAAUCACCCAACUUCAUGAUUCCACGUUGUCUUACCUGUUCGGCUCAUCAUGUCUAGGUGACCAGAGGCAAUGUAACCAGAAGAAUCAAAUGGGAAUUUUUAUUAAGGAAAGGAGCCAUGGCCUUGACUUGGAAAACAGACUCAAACACCAGCGCUCAAGGGCAAGAUGAGGCUCAAAGUGGAAGAAUGAGCAUGAAGAUCGGAAGCCAGAAGAAGCAGCGAUGAGUAGAGAUGCCGCACACAUACAUGAUCAGCACAGGCAGUGCAGGACAAAAUCAUGAACAAGAUGAAAGCAUGAACACCCAGAUGAAUAUGGUGCCAGUCACAGUACAGGAAUGACGCAUGUUCUGCAACUUCAAUGGCGCAAGGAAUACUGGACCUGGAUGGUUGAUAUAAUAACAUAGCCAUAAAGUAUAAGAAGCAGAUGGGAUUGCCUCAAGAUGAUAAUUUUGAUUAUUCAACAUUGUUAUGUUCAUAAAUACAUCUUUGUGCAACAUCUUCAUCACAGAUGGCAGACACUUGACACAUGUGCGGUCAGUGGCAGGGAUUACUAAUUGAUCACAGUUGUUUUUUCCCCAAGGCUUGGAUACAGCCUCAAAAUUCUUCUCAAUGUAGUCAUCCAGUAUGUUACAGAUAGUUCGCUGUAAUUGGUAUAUAAAGACAAACAUAUAUGCUAUCCUAAUCUAUAGAUUAUAGAUAUUGAUAUGGUUUGGCUCUUUGUCCCCAUCCAAAUCUCAUCUUGAAUUGUAAUCCCCACGUGUCAAGGGAGGGACCUGCUGGGAGUUGAUUGGAUCAUGGAGGCGGUUUUCCCCAUGCUGUUCUCAUGAUAGUGAGUGAGUUCUCAUGAGAUCUGAUGGUUUAAAAGUAUUUGGCAGUUCCUCGCCACCCGCCUCCUGCCACCAUGUGAAGAAGGUCCUUGCUUCCCCUUCGCUUUACACCAUGAUUAUAAGUUUCCGGAGACCUCCUUAGCCAUGCAGAAC
rnacentral:lncRNA from 1 species